rnacentral:sRNA from 1 species
GCCAGGCAUGAUGGCAUAUGCCUGUAAUCCCAGUGGCUCGGGAGGCUGAGGCAGGAGGAUCCCGAGUUCCCAGCCUCAGCAAUGGUGAGGCACUAAGCAAGACCCUGUCUCAA